rnacentral:rRNA from 1 species
GUUGACCUCGGAUCAGGUAGGGAUACCCGCUGAACUUAAGCAUAUCAAUAAGCGGAGGAAAAGAAACCAACAGGGAUUGCCCCAGUAACGGCGAGUGAAGCGGCAAGAGCUCAAAUUUGAAAUCUGGCCUCCCCCGGGGGCCCGAGUUGUAAUUUGCAGAGGAUGCUUCGGGUGCGGCCGCCGUCUAAGUUCCUUGGAACCAGGACGUCAGAGAGGGUGAGAAUCCCGUCU